rnacentral:rRNA from 1 species
GAUGAACGCUAGCGGCAGGCCUAAUACAUGCAAGUCGAACGGUGUCUUCGGACAUAGUGGCGCACGGGUGCGUAACACGUAUGCAACCUACCUUACAUUGGGGGAUAGCCUUUCGAAAGGGAGAUUAAUACCGCAUAAGACAGUAGCUGGGCAUCCAGCAGCUGUUAAAGAUUUAUCGAUGUAAGCUGGGCAUGCGUCCAAUUAGCUCGUUGGUGAGGUAACGGCUCACCAAGGCAAUGAUUGGUAGGGGAACUGAGAGGUCAAUCCCCCACACGGGCACUGAGAUACGGGCCAGACUCCUACGGGAGGCAGCAGUAGGGAAUAUUGGGCAAUGAACGCAAGUCUGACCCAGCCAUGCCGCGUGCAGGAUGAAGGCGUUAUGCGUUGUAAACUGCUUUUAUACAGGAAGAAACGACUCUUGCGAGAGGCAUUGACGGUACUGUAUGAAUAAGCACCGGCUAACUCCGUGCCAGCCGCCGCAGUAAUAC